AACACAAUACUGUAUGGUUUCACCGCAGAGUUUUACUCUUGAUUCCAGUAAAUAAUUCUAGUUUGGUGUACCUCAACUGCUUUUAAGUAAGCUUCCUGCUUGGUGAACACAGCUCAUAAAAUUAACAAUUGUGAAAUAUUCCACCGAACAUAACAUUCCAGUCCACACAACUAGUGCAGGAAAUAAAGCUACCUUGGUGAUUUGAUCACCAUUUAUUAAGUAAAAAUGCUUAGCAAUCCGACCGAUUGAAUCAUCUCAUUCGCUCCGUUCUGUGCUGUGUCAAAUAAACAGUUUCCUAGUCGGUGUGUUAAAACUGUUUCAAUAAUAGUGCUAGUCGGAUACAGUCAUCGGCUGUCAUGUGACCAUGAAAAUACCUACGAUUCCAAGAUAAUCUACGGUGUGACGUGUCGUAAUUUGAUGCUUAUUUGUGUGCCCAUCAUCACAGAUAGCUAAAUACUACUAUGCUUUUCUAACUACUAGAGUGCAGUGUUUAAACCGCGUCCGUCAGUACUGCAUGUCGGUGUGGUUCUGGCCCCCUUCAUGGGGUAUUGUUCUCAAGUCUGUGAGAUGAAUAUGGCGUGUCUCUACACUCUCGAGGCUAUGCUGAGUUGCAGUUCACGGUUGAUCUACUUAGUCCAUAUUGGAUUUCGUGACCUACAUCAAGCCGAGCGAUUUUGUUAACUGUAACUCAUUUCUUGCCUGACUUGAACAACUUGCCGAGACAACGCCCAAGCGCAAAAACAUGAACAAAUUGGUCGUGCGCUAUCUUGACGCGACUUCACGUACCAUACUUUGAUCUUACAGUCAGCACAUCACCGGCUUCGCAAAUACUUAAUAGUACCAGCAGUGGGCAACAGAUCGACAGAUGAAUUAUAUUUCCUACAUCGUAAAAGAUACAAAUCGAAAAACUCAAGAUAAAUGAAAUCACCUCUCUUCUCUGGAUCUACCACACACUAAACCGAUGAAUACUGUUCAGAAUUGAAAAAUCACGCACCGCAACGGCUAACAAUCCACGGCUUGUACGUUCAAAAUGUGGGAUGAGGAUGUGAAUAAUUUUUCUGUUCUCACCGUUUGCUGCUUCGAUGUACACUCGCGUCAAACUACGAUGCGAUCGAUACGAGAGUUGAGCUGAAACUGACGCGGUAUUUGUUCCGGCCUGAGAGCUCGUAGCUUCCUUACCGAGGUUAGUGUGGCUGUUUUUCGCUACUAAUCAGUAUCACUGUGGGCUGAACUUCUAGUAUUAUAUCCUGUAUCUGAGAAUAAUAAUAUCGCAAAUCAGCCAACAAAUGCACGAAUUCUGAACCAUUUGAAACCUAACGAUUUUUCGUGACUUUAAAUUUUUCGGAUCACAUUACGUUUUGGCCCAUUGUUGCAUUCCAUCACGACCAACACCGAUCCACAAGCGGCAACUCGGCAGUGAUGACGUUAUACUAUUUGGUGGUAGCAAAAACCGGCAUUCGGCUGUACUCAGGAACGCAUGACAACUCAUGGUAUAAUUUCUGCUUGCACCAACUUUUUCUCGUAUCUUCACCUAUAUCUCAUGCUGAAUAAGACCUUCGGCCUCAAACUUGUUUGCGAUUGGUUGUCGUUCUGGCAUCAUCAUUGCGUCGCAGCAAAUACAUGCAACUGCUGGAUACCGGCAAAAUGACGCAUAGUAUAUAGAAUGGUUCUAUGAUGGAGUUUUGAAUGUUAUUCUUUGAAGGACAAGUACGGGUAGUAUAGUACUAUAGUUUUACUAAUUGAACAUUAAGUAUA